rnacentral:tRNA from 1 species
UGUAGCUCAGCGGUAGAGGACUGGCCUGACAUGCCUGAGGCCCUGGGUUCAAUCCUCAGUA